rnacentral:lncRNA from 1 species
UUCAUCUGUGUAUGAUGGUAGUGAAGAGGGAACACCUGCAGGAAAUUUUCAGGAUAUGGUGAUCAAGUCUGAUGGACUGGUGAUGCAAUUACACAGCACUGUCUUCCCCUUUCUGAAAAUGUUUAUUUUACUUUAUCAUAUUCAAUUGUACUGAAAUUGUGCUUCUUGUGCCAGAAGAAUAAGACAUUUCUGCUUAGGACACUAUUUUACUUUGUCUUGUUAGAUGUGUACAUGUCUAAGAAAAAAAUGGACUGGAAACUGGCUUCAGAUAAUGCAAGUAACCAUGAACUGACCAUGAGUACUGCCCUACGUACUAAUGGCAGAGAGAAUCCUGUCAUCUUAACCUUAUGCUUUCUUCCUAGGAAUGACAAAAGGAUGUUCUAGCAAGACUACUCUGCUUCCUUUCCCUGUAGAAGAUAAUAUGGUCAAAACAGACAUUCUCACCCACAGACACAAAGUCUGAGUUGACACAGAGGACCAUCCUAUCAUCACCUCCAAAAAAGACAUAAAUCUGGUAAGUCUUGAAUCUUCCCAACUUGAAGGAUUUUAGGAAGUCCUAGCCAGAACAAUCAAGCAAAUGAAAAAAAAAGAAGGCAUCUAAAUAGGAAGAGAGGCAGUCAAACUAUCUCUGCAGAUGAUACGAUUCUAUACCUAGAAAAUCCAAAUGUCUCUUCCCAAAGGCUCCUAGAUCUGAUAAACAACUCUAACAAAAUUUCAGGAAACAAAAUCAAUUUUUAAAAGCUGGUAGCAUUUCUAUACACUAACAACAUCCAAGCUGAGAGCCAAAUCAAGAACACAAUUCCAUUCAUAAUAGCCACCAAAGGAAUGUUGAACAAAAAUACCCAGGAACACAGGUAGCCAGGGAAGUGAAGAUCUCCACAGUGAGAAUUACAAAACACUGCUGAAAGAAAACAGAGAUAACACAAACAAAUAGAAAAACAUUCCAUGCUCAUGAAUAGGAAGAAUCAACAUUGGCAAAAUGGCCAUACUACCCAAAGCAAUUUACAGAUUCAAGGCUAUUUCUAUGGAACUAAUGACGUUUUUCAUAGAAUUAGAAAAAAACUUUUCUAAAAUUAAUAUGAAAACCAAAAAGGAGCCCAAAUAGCCAAAGCAAUCAUAAGCAAAAAGAACAAAACUGGAUGCAUCAUGCUACCUGACUUCAAACUAUACCACAAGGCUACAGUAACCAAAUGGCAUAGAACAAUACAAAAAAGAGACAUAUAGACCUAUGGAACAGGGUAGAGAAAUAAUGCCGCACACCUCCAACCAUCUGAUCUUUGACAAAGCCAACAAAAUAAGCAAUGGAGAAGGGAUUCCCUAUUCAAUAAAUGGUGCUGAGAUAACAUGCUAGCCAUAUGCAGAAGAUUGAAACUGGACCCUUUCCUUUCACCAUAUACAAAAAUCAACUCAAGAUGAAUUAGAAACUUAAAUGUAAAACCUAAAACUAUAAAAACCCUAGAAGAAAACCUAGGAAAUACCAUUCUGGACAUCAGCCCUGGCAAAGAUUUCAUUAUGAAGACUCCAAAAGCAAUUGCAACAAAAACAAAAAAUUAACAAGUGAGACCUAAUUAAACAAAAGAGCAUCUCUUCACAGUAAAAGAAACUAUCAACUGAGUAAACAGACAACCUGCAGAUUGAGAGAAGAUAUUUGCAAACUAUGCAUCUGACAAAGGUCCAAUGUCCAAAAUCUAUAAGGAACUUGAACAAAUCAACAAGCAGAAAACAAAUAACCCCAUUUAAAAAAUGGACAAAGAACAUGAACAGACAUUUCUUAGAAGACAUACACACAGCUAACAAAUUUACAAAAAUAUACUCAGCAUCUCUAAUCAUUAGAGCAAUGCAAAUCAAAACCACAAUGAGAUACCAUCUCACACCAGUCAAAAUGGCUAUUAUUAAAAAGUCAGGAAAAUAACAGAUGCUGGUAAGGUUGCAGAGAAAAGAGAACACUUAUACAAUGUUGGCAGGAGUGUAAAUUAAUUCAGCCACUGUGGAAAGCAGUUUGGCAAUUUCUCGAAGAACUUAAAACAGAGCUACCAGUCAACCCAGCAAUCCCAUUACUUUUUAUUUACCCAAAUGAAUAUAAACUGUUCGCCAUGAAGACACAUGCACGUGUAUGUUCAUCCCAGCACUAUUAACAAUAAUAGCAAAGACAUGGAAUCAACCUAGAUGCCUAUCAAUUGUGGACUGGAUUAAGAAAAUGUGGUACAUAUACACCAUGGAAUACCAUGCAGCCCUAAAAAAAUAAAAUAAAAUCAUGUCGUUUGCCGCAACAUGGAUGGAGCUGGCGGCCAUUAUCCUAAAUGGAUUAAUACAAGAACAGAAAACCAAAUACCACAUGUUUUCACUUAUAAAUGGAAGCUAAACAUUUAGUACACAUGGACACAAAGAAUGGAACAAUGGACACUGGGACCUACUCGAGGGUUGAGGGUGAGGAUGAGAAUCAAAAAACUACCUAUCAGAAGGCAAAGGAGUCCAGACAUGGUGGCUCACACCUGUAAUCUCAGCCCUUUGGGAGGCUGAGGAGAGUGGAUCACUUGAGGUCAGGAGUUCAAAACCAGCCUGUCCAACAUGGCAAAACCCUGUCUCUACUAAAAAUACAAAAAUUAGCCAGGCGUGGUGCUGCAUGCCUGUAAUCCCAGCUAUUCAGGAGGCUAAGGCACGAGAAUCGCUUGAACCCCAAGGGCAGAGGUUGCAGUGAGCUGAGAUUGUGCCACUGCACUCCAGCCUGGGUGACAGAGCAAGACUUCUUCUCAAAAAUAAAAUAAAAUAAAAAAGAAGGCAAAGGAGGAGCAAAGUCACAUCUUACAUCGUGGCAGGCAAGAGAGCUUGUGCAGGGGAACUCCCAUUUUUAUAACCAUCGGAUCUCAUGCGACUUAUUCACUACCAUGAGAACAGUGUGGGUGAAACUGCUCCUGUGAUUCAAUUAUCUUCACCUGGCCCUGCCCUUGACACAUGGGAAUUAUUACAAUUCAUUGUGGGAUUUGGGUGGGAACACAGCCAAACCAUAUCAAAUGAGGAGGGACAUCUUGAAUUUAGGGCCCAAUGCUCCCCUCUCUGCAUCCCUAAACCCACUGUUUUUUUCCAUCGCAAUCACCACAUUCCAACCUACAAACAUUGGGUUGGGUAUAAACUACUGUGUUUUGCAACCUGAGAUCAUUUCAGGGGAUGAACACUAUUUAUGAGGUUUCCCCAGCCAUGUGGAACUGUGAGUCAAUUAAACCUCUUUCUUUUAUAAACUACCCACCCUUGGGUAUGUCUUUAUUAGCAUUGUGAGAACAGACUAAUACACCACUCUAGCUGCCUUCCUGAUUGCUGGAGAUCCAUUCAAAGAAUAAAACAAGAAGCUUUAUCCUAAUUAUCAUGUAAGUCUUCCCCCUAAAAUAUCAAGAACUAAGUGGAAAAUCCUUCAAAUACAUCUUCAAAUUAAAGCAUCUAAAAGUCUAAAUUAAAGCAUCUAAAAGCAUCAUGUCAAGGCUUAAAUGGAAUGACAUAAUUGCAAUUUAUUGGGUUUUCUUCUUUCAGUCAAAAUUCAAGGUUAAUUUUAGCAGUGCUUCAGAUCAUUU